UACGAAGGGUGCAAGCGUUAAUCGGAAUUACUGGGCGUAAAGCGUGUGUAGGCGGUUUCUUAAGUCUGCUGUGAAAUCCCCGGGCUCAACCCCGGGUCGGCCGUCGAUACUCUCGUGCUUGAGCACUGUAGAGGCAGGUGGAAUUCCCAGUGUAGCGGUGAAAUGCGUAGAGAUCGGGAGGAACACCCGUGGCGAAGGCGGCCAUCUGGACCAGCACUGACGCUGAGGCACGAAAGCGUGGGGAGCAAACAGG
rnacentral:rRNA from 1 species